rnacentral:rRNA from 1 species
GACGAACGCUGGCGGCGUGCUUAACACAUGCAAGUCGAACGGAAAGGCCCUGCUUGCAGGGUACUCGAGUGGCGAACGGGUGAGGAACACGUGGGUGAUUUGCCCUGCACUUCGGGAUAAGCCUGGGCAACUGGGUCUAAUACCGGAUAGGAGCCAUUUUUAGUGUGAUGGUUGGAAAGGUUUUCCGGUGUAGGAUGAGCUCGCGGACUAUCGGCUUGUUGGUGGGGUAAUGGCCUACCAAGGCGGCGACGGGUAGCCGGCCUGAGGGAGUGGACGGCCACAUUGGGACUGAGAUGCGGCCCAGACUCCUACGGUAGGCAGAAGUGGGGAAGAUUGCACAAUCGGCGCAAGCCUGAUGCAGCGACGCCGCGUGGGGGAAGACGCCCUUCGUGUUGUAAACUCCUUUCGCUAGAGACGAAGCUUUUUGUGACGGUACCUAGAUAAGAAGCACCGGCUAACUACGUG